rnacentral:rRNA from 1 species
UACGGGGGAGGCAAGCGUUGUUCGGAAUUACUGGGCGUAAAGGGCUCGUAGGUGGCCAACUAAGUCAGACGUGAAAUCCCUCGGCUUAACCGGGGAACUGCGUCUGAUACUGGAUGGCUUGAGUUCGGGAGAGGGAUGCGGAAUUCCAGGUGUAGCGGUGAAAUGCGUAGAUAUCUGGAGGAACACCGGUGGCGAAGGCGGCAUCCUGGACCAACACUGACGCUGAGUGAGCGAAAGCCAGGGGAGCAAACGGG